UCACACGACAGCAUAGCGCGUGUAUUUCUCCCCAGCUCGGAGUUCAGCGUCAUCACGUCAGCAGUUUUGAAAUUAGCCGUGGUGGAAGUAUUUACAGCAUGCAACUUGGCAAAGGGCAGACUACAUUAUCUAGGAAGACCAUUUCAGCCUAAUAAAGGAGGCAUUGGACCCCAUCGAUGGAAAACCACAGAGGGAGGGAAAAGAGCCACAGAUGCUUAUAGACGUGACUGAGCGUCUGAGACGAUGCCAUCUUCAGCAGUGAGCUUCCAGGCCGGGGUGAUGUCAUCUGGGACGUGGGACUGAGGGAUACUUUCCAGGAAGAAGAGAGGACAAGGAGUCAGGAAAGAGCGCCAUGGGCCAGCAGAGCCCCAGACUGGAGCAAGGCCCCUGCAAGCCGGGAAGGGCCAAGGCCGGCUGGCCCACCAGAAGAAGGAAGGGGAAAGGAAAGCUUCUUCUCUAGAACUUUCAGAGAGAGAGAGAAUAUGGCCCUGUUGACCCCUUGAUUUUGGCCUUGUAACCUCCAAAAUGGUGACGGAAUACACUGCUACUGUUUUAAGCCACCCAAUCGUGACAGCCCUGCCAAGGGCCUAUAGGGCCUUUCAGACCUGGCAGACCGGUACUGCCUUUCCUCCCAGCCCACGUGCUCUUUCUAAAACAGGGCUAGGAUUGCUCCCUCCCCAGCUCACACCUUUUCUAUGGCUCCCUAUUGUCCUGGUAUCCACGACCCCCCAUCACUGGUCCUGGCCUUCUUUCCUUUUUCGGCUACCCCAAACCAUAGCUUCGGCUCUCCCCUCCAUGUCCUCCCUCACGCUCUGCUGGAAAAUAUAGCACU